CAUUAUUAUUUCUUUCGAAGUUCACAUGAAAUAUCCUUUUAUCAUUACUUCUUCUCGCGUCUCUUCUCUCUCUCUCGCUCUCUCUAUUUCUUGAUCUCUCUGCUACAUCGAGAAAACAGACAAAACAUGUCUAAAGUUACCACAGAGCUCGACUUCUUCGGUCUUGACAAGAAUCAGACCAAUAACGCUCCAAAGCCCAAGUUCAAGAAAACUCUCGACCGUCGUCGCAGUUUCCGAGAAAUGCAAGGUGCGAUUUCUAAGAUAGAUCCGGAGAUUAUCAAAUCACUGUUGGCUUCUGGUGCUAACCGUUCCGAGUCAUCCACCAGAUCGCUUUCUGUUCCAUCUACUCCCAAGGAGGAUCAUCCUCAAAUACCGUCUUCUCCUGUCCACGUGCCUCUUUCCAGGCCUAGUAUGGAACUUGUCUCUGGAACUGUUCCUAUGACCAUUUUCUACAAUGGAACCGUCUCCGUUUUCCAAGUGUCUCCUAACAAGGCUGAGGAUAUUUUGAAGGUUGCCAUGCAGACAACACCAGAGAAAGACAAAUCGGUGGAGAAAGAUCUUUCGGUAAUCCCUCCGACCACUCUAAGGUCAAAGCUCUUUGGCAAGAAUCUAGAAGGAGAUCUUCCCAUCGCAAGGAGAAAGUCACUACAAAGGUUUCUUGAGAAGCGCAAGGAGAGAUAAUUGCUCUCUCCUACCUUCCAAGGAUUAACCCCAAAACAAUUAAACUAAAAGAUUAGUAUCAACAUGUCCUUACUUUCCAACAUCAGCCUAAAACGAAACUCUUUAUCUUUUUCUUUUUUUGACUGGGACGUGAAACCAAACCAGUUCAUCCUGCAUUUGGCUUCUCCCCAAAUCUUUUGGAAUCUCACUACACAGCUUUAGUAUAUUACGUUUCUUUCUUAAGAAUAUACAGUUUCUUAUAUAAGUAUGUUGCCAUCUUCUUAAAUGAUUAUUAUUAUCUCUAAUGUCAAGACUCAGACACUUUGUGUUAUUACAUGUUUCCACUAUUUCUUGUAUUUACACUACUUUUUUGUAAUUUUUAGUACUUGGAAAAGAAACGCCUCUUGGCUUCACGUGAA